ACCGCAGUUCCCGGUAGGGGCGCUGGUGUAGCUAUUUUUAGAAAAUGGCCAGAACUUGGUUCACCGACCCCGUCGCGUUUAAGGCUUAAUUACACCUAUUUCUUUGACGAAUUCCGCGCGGUUUUUUUUACAUAUGAGAAGUACAAACCUUCGAAUUGGCGUAUUUCGCACAACUGUAUAUCCUCGACGAGAAAACGAUUAAAUAUGAGGUAAGUGAAAUUUCAGACAUCUGCCAAAUACCUUAAAAUCAACAAAGUCAAUAAAAUACGGGUAAAUACGCUUAAUAUACAUCUAAUAGAAGUUAAAAAAUAUUUUUGUGUAUUUUUGUUCAAUCAUCAAAGUGACGAAAAAAAGGCUUGAAGUUUUCAGUCGGGCAGUUGUUUAGAGUUACCUCCCCUGUUAUCUGACGUCACAAAUUCCCAGGCACUUCCAAAGAUCGAUUCCGCAGAGGGUAAAAAAAGAUACCAUGAUGCUGUAAGCAAAAGUUUCAUUGUGAUUGCCAGUGGUUGGACUAAAUGGAAUUGGGGAUUCCCUCAACAUAUUAACUGUUUAACAGUUCACAGAUUUCAUCGCCUUUCACCACCCAAGUUAUGGUCUGAAGGGAGGGUAG